rnacentral:rRNA from 1 species
UACGAAGGGGGCUAGCGUUGCUCGGAAUCACUGGGCGUAAAGGGUGCGUAGGCGGGUCUUUAAGUCAGGGGUGAAAUCCUGGAGCUCAACUCCAGAACUGCCUUUGAUACUGAGGAUCUUGAGUUCGGGAGAGGUGAGUGGAACUGCGAGUGUAGAGGUGAAAUUCGUAGAUAUUCGCAAGAACACCAGUGGCGAAGGCGGCUCACUGGCCCGAUACUGACGCUGAGGCACGAAAGCGUGGGAGGCAAACAGG